AUUGAACGCUGGCGGCAUGCCUUACACAUGCAAGUCGAACGGUAACAGGUCUUCGUAUGCUGACGAGUGGCGAACGGGUGAGUAAUACAUCGGAACGUGCCUAGUAGUGGGGGAUAACUACGCGAAAGAGUGGCUAAUACCGCAUGCGAUCUACGGAUGAAAGCAGGGGAUCGCAAGACCUUGUGCUUCUAGCGCGGCCGACGGGAGAUUAGGUAGUUGGUGGGAUAAAAGUUUACCAAGCCGACGAUCUGUAGCUGGUCUGAGAGGACGAUCAGCCACACUGGGACUGAGACACGGCCCAGAAUCCUACGGGAGGCAGCAGUGGGGAAUUUUGGACAAUGGGCGCAAGCCUGAUCCAGCAAUGCCGCGUGCAGGAUGAAGGCCUUCGGGUUGUAAACUGCUUUUGUACGGAACGAAAAGCCCUGGGUUAAUACCCUGGGGUCAUGACGGUACCGUAAGAAUAAGCACCGGCUAACUACGUGCCAGCAGCCGCAGUAAAAC
rnacentral:rRNA from 1 species